GGAUAUAGUGACUUAUAUCUGUCAUCCCUGUUACUGGAGAGACUAAGACUGAUGGCCCUCUUGAGCAUAGCAGUUCUGAGCUGCAAUGGAUUAUGGCAUUCAGGUGCCCAUACUAAAUGUUGCAGGAAUAUGGUAAGUCCCUGGGAAGUGAAUAGUUUCAUAAGGAGGAGUGAACCGGCCCAGUUAAGAAAAAGAGCAGGUCAAAGCUGUCUUGUCAAUCAGUGGUGGGAUCAGACCUGUGAGUAAACCUUGCAUUUUCAAUGUGGGCAAGAUAGGGAGACUCAAUAUUAA
rnacentral:SRP_RNA from 1 species